AGUAACACGUGGGUGACCUGCCCCGAUGACUGGGACAACCCGGGGAAACCCGGGCUAAUACCGGAUGAACUCUUUGGCCUGCGGGCCGUUGAGAAAAGAUAGCUUCGGCCUUCGCAUCGGGAUGGGCCCGCGGUCCAUUAGCUUGUUGGUGAGGUAACGGCUCACCAAGGCUGCGAUGGAUAGCUGGUCUGAGAGGACGAUCAGCCACACUGGGACUGAGACACGGCCCAG
rnacentral:rRNA from 1 species